CAGCAGCCGCGGUAAUACGUAGGUGGCAAGCGUUGUCCGGAAUUAUUGGGCGUAAAGCGCGCGCAGGCGGAUAGGUCAGUCUGUCUUAAAAGUUCGGGGCUUAACCCCGUGAUGGGAUGGAAACUGCCAAUCUAGAGUAUCGGAGAGGAAAGUGGAAUUCCUAGUGUAGCGGUGAAAUGCGUAGAUAUUAGGAAGAACACCAGUGGCGAAGGCGACUUUCUGGACGAAAACUGACGCUGAGGCGCGAAAGCCAGGGGAGCGAACGGGAUUAGAUACCCGUGUAGUCCCUGUCUCUUAUACC
rnacentral:rRNA from 1 species